rnacentral:rRNA from 1 species
CACGUAGGCACCAAGCGUUGUCCGGAUUUAUUGGGCGUAAAGAGCUUGUAGGCGGUUCGGUUAGUCGGGUGUGAAACCUCUGGGCUCAACUCAGAGACGCCACCCGAUACUGCUGUGACUAGAGUGCGGUAGGGGAGCGGGGAAUUCCUGGUGUAGCGGUGAAAUGCGCAGAUAUCAGGAGGAACACCGGUGGUGUAGACGGCUUUCUGGACCGUAACUGACGCUGAGACACGAAAGCGUGGGUAGCAAACAGG